UACGUAGGGGGCGAGCGUUGUCCGGAUUCAUUGGGCGUAAAGGGUGCGUAGGCGGUCUGCUAAGUUUGGUGUGAAAUCUCCGGGCUUAACCCGGAAAGGUCAGCCGAUACUGCGGGGCUAGAGUGCAGAAGGGGCAACUGGAAUUCCCGGUGUAGCGGUGAAAUGCGCAGAUAUCGGGAGGAACACCAAUGGCGAAGGCAGCUCGCUGGGACGGUACUGACGCUGAGACGCGAAAGCGUGGGGAGCAAACAGG
rnacentral:rRNA from 1 species